GUGCCAGCCGCCGCGGUAAUACGAAGGGGGCUAGCGUUGUUCGGAAUCACUGGGCGUAAAGCGCGCGUAGGCGGAUUGUUAAGUCGGGGGUGAAAGCCCGAGGCUCAACCUCGGAAUUGCCUUCGAUACUGGCGAUCUUGAGUCCGGGAGAGGUGAGUGGAACUCCUAGUGUAGAGGUGAAAUUCGUAGAUAUUAGGAAGAACACCAGUGGCGAAGGCGGCUCACUGGCCCGGUACUGACGCUGAAGCGCGACAGCGUGGGGAGCAAACAGGAUUAGAAACCCCGGUAGUCC
rnacentral:rRNA from 1 species